UGAGCUACAAUGAGAAAUUAACAUGAAAGAAAACCUACUCUUGUUGUGGAUCUUCAAUGAAAUAUAAUUUGUUAAGUUUUGCUUCUAAGCUUU